CUGCGUCCCUGCCUCGCUGGGUGGGGGUCCGGGGCGCGGCUGUCCACAGGGCCGCCUCCUCCUGCGGCCCGCGGGGAAGGGGCGCAUCCCACCCCGCUCUGCAGGCCGCCCUUCUGCCAGCUGGGAGGCGAGGGCACACGUCCUAAGGCUGCCCAAGGGGGAGAGGAAUCGCGCCGGCCCCUUUGUGUGACUAAAUUUGGCAAGAAUAUGGAUCUGAGCCAGUCUUUCCACGUGUGCUCCCAGCUCCCAGCUGAGAAGGCCAAGGGUUCUCUUCCGGUGCUCCAGGAAAGUACCUGAUUGACAAGAUCUACAUCCAAUGCCCAGAAAACACAUCCUACACAGGCACAGUGAAGCGUGGAGUUGAAGAAUUUUCCAGAAAACCAGUUUGGCUAUUAAGGGAACCUGUCGACACAGAGCAGAGCAAGAUAAGGCCAGGUUUCAGAAAGAAUAGCUGUUUACCAUCAAAGCAACUGGGUUCCACACAGACAUGGUAUAUUAUACACAAAGACGAAGAUAACAGGAAACUUCAGGAAGUAGCAGUCUCAGCUGAUUUUGCUCCUGCCUGUCUAGGAUGGGGCAAUGGGCAUCACCAGCACACAAACGUGCCUUCUGGCACAUGCUUGCCUCAGUAAAGUGCCUGCACGUUCACUCUGUCAUGUGGAGUAUCCUACCCUGGAAAGAUGUCAAAAGUAAAUCAUCAUCAUCCUCAUGUACAAUACCAACAUAUCCU
rnacentral:lncRNA from 1 species